UACGUAGGGCGCAAGCGUUAUCCGGAAUUAUUGGGCGUAAAGAGCUCGUAGGCGGUUUGUCGCGUCUGCCGUGAAAGUCCGGGGCUCAACUCCGGAUCUGCGGUGGGUACAGGCAGACUAGAGUGAUGUAGGGGAGACUGGAAUUCCUGGUGUAGCGGUGAAAUGCGCAGAUAUCAGGAGGAACACCGGUGGCGAAAGCGCUCAUCUGGCCCAAUACUGACGCUGAGGCGCGAAAGCUAGGGGAGCAAACGGG
rnacentral:rRNA from 1 species